AAAUAGGCCUUAUUAGAGGCCAUUUAACAUUAUGUCUAUGUAAGUUU
rfam:Cajanus cajan Scaffold134716_4, whole genome shotgun sequence.